rnacentral:rRNA from 1 species
GCACCAGACUCCUACGGGAGGCAGCAGUGAGGAAUAUUGGUCAAUGGGCGGAAGCCUGAACCAGCCAAGUCGCGUGAGGGAAUAAGGCCCUACGGGUCGUAAACCUCUUUUGCCGGGGAGCAAGGGCCGGGACGCGUCCCGGCCCGGAGAGUACCCGGAGAAAAAGCAUCGGCUAACUCCGUGCCAGCAGCCGCGGUAAUACGGAGGAUUCAAGCGUUAUCCGGAUUUAUUGGGUUUAAAGGGUGCGUAGGCGGUCGGAUAAGUUAGAGGUGAAAUCCCGAGGCUCAACUUCGGAAUUGCCUCUGAUACUGUUCGGCUAGAGAGUAGUUGCGGUAGGCGGAAUGUAUGGUGUAGCGGUGAAAUGCUUAGAGAUCAUACAGAACACCGAUUGCGAAGGCAGCUUACCAAGCUACUUCUGACGUUGAGGCACGAAAGCGUGGGGAGCAAACAGGAUUAGAUACCCUAGUAAUA